AAGAGAAAUUAUAAUGCAAAGUCAGCUGUCACCUAGAGUUCCUCUGACCACUUCAGUGGGGCUUUUUAUGACCCUUCAUCUUCAUUCUUUUAGUGUAGCUAUCCGUCUGAAGUGUUUGGAGGAACUCUCGAUGGCAUCCGACGCUUCAUUCUUUUCGAUCUUCUUUUCAUCUCAACUUUUCUCAAAUAGCAGGUGCAUGAAGGGGACACGCAAAGUUAGGUGGAUGGGCUAUGGCGGUCAAAAUAUUACAAAAUAUCCUUGGAUUUCUGAAUCAUAUACAAAUUAAGCCUGUAUCCGUGUGAUAUGAAGACGGCGAGAUAUAAUUAGACAUGAAAAUGAAUUGAAGGGCUUGUUGGGGAGCUUCAUAAGGCUUGCUGGAAAUACUGCUGCCACCAGGAGUCAAGAGGAAGAUGGUCGCGAGGAA